UGAGGAAGUAAAAGUCGUAACAAGGUUUCCGUAGGUGAACCUGCGGAAGGAUCAUUAAUGAAUUAUAAUGCUGAGGUUGUAGCUGGCCUUUCAAUCGAGAGGUAUUGUGCACGCCUUGGUUAUUCCAAAUUCUUAUACCUCUGUGCACUUUACAUGGAAGCUUUAUUACUUGGUUUGUAUGGAAAGGGAUCGACUCUUAACUGAGUUGAACCCAAGUAAGUCGACUAAGUAAUGAAACCCUUCUGUGGUUCAUACAUUUAUACCAGUCAGUUUAGAAUGUUUUAUACCGCGUAUAACGCAAACUAUAUACAACUUUCAGCAACGGAUCUCUUGGCUCUCGCAUCGAUGAAGAACGCAGCGAAAUGCGAUAAGUAAUGUGAAUUGCAGAAUUCAGUGAAUCAUCGAAUCUUUGAACGCACCUUGCACUCCUUGGUAUUCCGAGGAGUAUGCCUGUUUGAGUGUCAUGGUAUUCUCAAUUCUAAUAACUUUUGUUAUCGGAAUUGGACUUGGAGGUUUUUUGCCGGUGCUUCGGCGGCUGGCUCCUCUUAAAUGCAUUAGUGUGAAUCAAGUUACACAUUACUCAGUGUGAUAAUUAUCUGCGCUGUGUUUCAAUGUUGACUUUAUAAGUGUUCAUGCUUAUAACCCGUCUGUUGACUCAGACACUUUACUAUGAAAUCUGACCUCAAAUCAGGUAGGACUACCCGCUGAACUUAAGCAUAUCAAU
rnacentral:rRNA from 1 species